GCACUCAUGAGCCGGAGGGCUGCACUUUCAGUGAGUGGGAAGGGUGAGUAACACGUGGACAACCUGCCUCAAGGCUGGGGAUAACAUUUGGAAACAGAUGCUAAUACCGAAUAAAACUUAGUGUCGCAUGACAAAAAGUUAAAAGGCGCUUCGGCGUCACCUAGAGAUGGAUCCGCGGUGCAUUAGUUAGUUGGUGGGGUAAAGGCCUACCAAGACAAUGAUGCAUAGCCGAGUUGAGAGACUGAUCGGCCACAUUGGGACUGAGACACGGCCCAAACUCCUACGGGAGGCUGCAGUAGGGAAUCUUCCACAAUGGGCGAAAGCCUGAUGGAGCAACGCCGCGUGUGUGAUGAAGGCUUUCGGGUCGUAAAGCACUGUUGUAUGGGAAGAACAGCUAGAAUAGGAAAUGAUUUUAGUUUGACGGUACCAUACCAGAAAGGGACGGCUAAAUACGUGCCAGCAGCCGCGGUAAUACGUAUGUCCCGAGCGUUAUCCGGAUUUAUUGGGCGUAAAGCGAGCGCAGACGGUUUAUUAAGUCUGAUGUGAAAGCCCGGAGCUCAACUCCGGAAUGGCAUUGGAAACUGGUUAACUUGAGUGCAGAAGA
rnacentral:rRNA from 1 species